AGAUCAUGGAGUGUUUCUACAUGAGAGUCAUUUCCUCCAUUUUAUAGAUGAUCAACAAGCUUAGAGGUGAUCCGCUGGGAUCCCUGUGAUGAAGAUCUGACCGCUAGAAGCCCUUGCCAGCGGAAGCGGAGUCUACUCUAGCGCGGGAGGUGCCCUCAUCGGUCGCUUUCAGUUGGGGACACAAGGUCUCCCUUCACAGACCACGUGUAUAAGUGACUCCUGAGUCUCCGAGGGCAGUUUUACUGUCACUACUCACCAGUCACUCACCAGCUACCUUCUGAUGGCUUUUGAAGUAUUGUGUCCAGAAGAUCUUCCUUGGAACCACACCUGGCCUCCACCACCUGAAUGCUGCAAUAAUUAAAGGAUGCUCAGUGAUUGGAGAAGACAUCCCAGAGGUGAUUUGUCACCGAGCCUUGUUGGCGGGAGGGGCACACUCAGAUAUGAAAUUAGCCCCAAAUGUCUCUGACUCCUAUUAUACCCUUCUCCCUGAGUUUCAAGUAAUUGGAAAUUCCACCUUUUCUUUUUGCUCCCUUCUCUUCAUACUGACCUAAAAAUAAUUUUU